AUAAAUAUAUGAAAUUUGAACCAAGCAAAACAAAAUAAACAAUAAAAUAUUAUUUUUACUUAGCAAUACAUCAGUGUUAUAAGAUUUAGAAUGACUGUACGUAGGGUCCUGAUUAUUCCUUACAAAUAGAGAUUUUUUCAUUUUUGUCUUCUGUCUUCUGUUCCAGAGGCACCCAUCACCAAGAGUUACCCCAACACCUAUCUCAUCAGGACCCACCAGGAGAUCCUCUUCAUGGAAACUGAUACAGCUGAGUAACUUGGAAGGUGACAACACAGCUCUCAGAACUCACCUUCCGUGCAGCCUCCUGUACUUGCACCGGACACUCUUCCUCUUCCGAAGUUACAUUCUGUAUUCCUCCAUGAUGUGCUGAUAAAUGUAAGUGAUACCAAACUGGUGUCAUGGCUUGUGUGUAGAUGUCGUCCCCACCCCCGAAAGUCUCAGGCGGAUGAGACAGGGCUUUCUUUUUCCGAGGUGGCUUAAUCUGGAACCUGUGAUGCUGGGAUUGAGAGAGUGUGAUUACUAAACCACUACAAGUGAGUGCUGGCUUGGCAGUGCUCUAACCCUGGUAGUCUGGAUGGGAUAAAAGGGGCAGAAGGAUACUGUUAAGGUCUCUUGCUGCUUUAGCUGCCUUCUGCUGCUAUGAACUGUUUCUCCUUGGAGCCAGCCAAUCACGGACUCAAACCUCUAUCCCGUGUAAGCCAAAUAAACCUUUCCCCCU
rnacentral:lncRNA from 1 species